CAAGUGUCAGUGUGUCUCUGCAUGUCUGCAUGUGUGUGUGUCUGAGUGUGUCUCUAUGUCUGUGCUUCUGUGCAUGUUUCUGUGUGUGUGUCUGCAUGUGUCAGUGUGUCUCUGCAUGUCUGCAUGUGUGUGUGUGUCUGAGUAGACAUGCGUGUGUCCGAGUGUCUGCGUGUGUACCUGUUUGCAUCCUGUGUGGAUUCAGAGCAAUCAGGCUGAGGGAGAAUGAUUACAGUGUAGACAAGGGAGUUCUGUUCUCUUUUUUCUUGCUAAGUGGGCCCAUGUAGAAAUUCCAUCCAAGCCGAGGUUGAGAUAUGUGGUAGAAAGUCCACUGGCUUGUGGAGUCAGAAGGACUGGAUUCAAAUCCUACCUUUGAGGCUUACAACCUUACUUGCCUGUGUCUUGGUUUCCUCCUCUCUAUACUGAGGGGCUGAAAUGCUUUGUCUUUAGAAGUCUCUUCUAGCUUUAGACCUAGGAGGCUAGGGUAGAGCCAGAGCUCAGGCCCCUGGGCGAUUGCCUAAGACCAAAGACCAAAAAUAUGUGGACACCAGCCUGUCUCCUCUGAGGAGCACGGGGUUCCGGUCCUGAGUGACCUGUAGCAAUUGUCAGCAGAGGGCAGGAAGCAGGGUCAUACUAAGAUUCCUAGGAACCCCUGGAAGAAUCUGAGCCAGCAGGUUUACGGAACUGCCCCUAAUUGCCCCUAAUUGGCUCUUUAAACUUGGGUGAUGUUCCUGAGUCAGGAGUACAGUCAUCUCCCUCGGCAAAUAGGAAAUUCUUUGGAGAAAGACAGAGAGAAGGAGGGAGGGAGAGAGAGGGAGAGGACAGGAGACAAGACACAGACAGAAGAGGAAGGGAGAAGAAGGAAAGAGGAAAGGAUGAAAGAAGAAAAGGAGAGAAGAGAGGUCGUAUUCUGCAGCAGAGACAUCGAAAAUACUGAAUCACCUCCAAGUCAGAAGAAAUACAUAGUGAGGAACAAAAAUGAUCCAGGGUGGAAAUAAUAGUAGUUUGCAUGUCUGCAGGUCUUUCAAGUUUGCAAAGUACUU
rnacentral:lncRNA from 1 species